UACGAAGGGGGCUAGCGUUGCUCGGAAUUACUGGGCGUAAAGGGCGCGUAGGCGGACAUUUAAGUCAGGGGUGAAAUCCCAGAGCUCAACUCUGGAACUGCCUUUGAUACUGGGUGUCUUGAGUGUGAGAGAGGUAUGUGGAACUCCGAGUGUAGAGGUGAAAUUCGUAGAUAUUCGGAAGAACACCAGUGGCGAAGGCGACUUACUGGACACAUAUUGACGCUGAGGUGCGAAAGCGUGGGGAGCAAACAGG
rnacentral:rRNA from 1 species